CACUUGUGAGCUUUAUGAGUCUUCUCAACAAAGCACUCUGUAAAUGCCAGGUGCUGCGUGCCCUUGAGCACUGGUGGGUCGAUGUGUAUUCACUAGGGGCCAAGUUUUUCCUGCAGCAGGCUCAAGCUGAGGGCUGGGACUCCUCCCUUGGCCACAGCCAGGAGCAGCAUUCACAGCCAUUCCUGCUGCAGGGAGCUGGGCAGGCUGUAGUUUCAACCCAGACUCCAAAAAUCAGCAUGGUGGAGAGACAGACCUCUUUGUUCUUGAGAAUUUUGAAAUCAUCCAAAGCCUGCAAGGAAAGAACACUUUUUGUUGCUCUUUCUUCUCCUAGUCCUCCAAGUCACAUCCUGCCAAUAUGAAAGCUGCUUCCGGCUCCAUGGCAUCAUGUGCCAAGCCAGCCCUGCCAUGUUUUGCUCAUCAUUCUAGGCCAGCUCAGGCCUUGACUUUGGCCAACAUUCCAUCCACAAAGGGAACUUUGACCAUCUUCUCCAACUUGACCUUCCUUGUUACACAAUUGCCACACUCCACAGCCUGAUUUGAAUAUCAUAUUUUCA
rnacentral:lncRNA from 1 species